rnacentral:misc_RNA from 1 species
AACAUCGCGCACCUGCGGGAACCUGCGGAAGGAUCAUUAAUGAUUGGUGGCUGUUGCUGACUAGUGUUUCUAGUAUGUGCACGCCACACCUUCAAUCCCACUUACACCUGUGCACCUUCUGUAAUAGAUCUAUGUGGAUACGGAGAUAUGAAGGUUUGCGCUCUCGUACACUGUUGAAGCAGUCUACUACGUUUUUUUACACACACACAAUAGUCAUUGAAUGUAUUUUUUAUUCUUAUG